rnacentral:lncRNA from 1 species
CCCUCGCAACCACGGCCUUGGCGGUCACACGCCCACGCUCGUGGUCAGCCACUCGGCCAGACCAAUUUGCAGAACUCAGAACCAACUCAAAACAAGACCAUCAACCUAAAAUUGGGGUGUCACAAGUAGUAUGUCAAUAAUGAUGUUAAAGAGGUGAAGUACAAGGAAGGAGAUAAGGUCUUCUUGCGAGUAUCUCCUUGGAAAGGUAUAAUGCAGUUUGGUCUAUUGUGAACGUUUCUGUCCGCGGCGCCGAUGGCUCGAUGGUUUGGAGUCGCCACCAAUCGCGUAAAAGUGGAUUGGACACUUGGAGCCCUGUUCCGACUUUGGAACCUAAACCGGACAUGGUCUACGUUCAAAGAUUAGGGUAAGGGGGACGGUUACGUGUGGGGACGGAUUAGCACCCCUACAACGCCCGAUAAACCAAUACUACAAAAAUCAAUAAGUUUGAUGUAUUUUAUUAAAUGCGCUUAA